GAGCAGCGCGCGCCGGGAGGGGGCGGGGCCGCGGCAGCCCAACGGCUCGUUGGGAGCGGGGCGCGGCAGCGUAGGCAGGCCGCUGUGUCAGAUGUUCAUGCAGAAAAAUGCAGGCCCAGGAUCCCCCCCAAGUAAGGUUGGAUGUGGUCAGUCCUUCAGGAUGCUCCCAACGCUGUUCAAAAGACUUAAUCUGGAACCCAGUGCAAGCAUAUCUCGUACUGAUCAACCAGAGCAAAAUGGUACCUGAAAAGAUGAUGCUGUAAAAGUCAGCAACAGAACCUUGAGAGAAUAUUAGUGUCAUGCAUUUUUGAAUUCCAGCUUUUUAAAACAAGUGACAAGCACAGAAAGCAAGAGUUCCUUGAUA